GAAAAAUUUCAGGAAAAUGACAUGAACAUUCAAAGAAGUACUAGAAAUACCAGGCUUUUGUAAUGGUAUUAAAUGCGAUCUCUAAAAUUUAUACUGAAUAUUUGCACUGUCUACAAAUAAAUGAAAUAUCACUGGACUUCUAAGGGAGCCAUUUAAACAUUUUCUGUGCAAGGUGAAUCUUUUUCUUCCUAAGAGUCAAAUCCUUAAAUACUGUCUCACUUUUAUUGCCU
rnacentral:lncRNA from 1 species